rnacentral:tRNA from 1 species
UCAUGGCCAAAUUGGAUAAGGCAUCGGCCUACGAAGCCGGGGAUUGCAGGUUCGAGUCCUGUUGUGUG